UUUUAGCACUGUUUAUAUCUAACGUUUGACCGUUCGUCUUAUUUAAAAAAAAAUUAUGAUUAGUAUUUUUAUUGCUAUUACAUGAUAAAACAUGAGUAGUACUUUAUAUGUGACUAAUUUUUUUAACUUUUUCAUAAAUUUUUCAAAUAAGACGGACGGUCAAGAUACUAAACACGAAUAUCUAUGCUACACUUAUU
rfam:Oryza meridionalis cultivar OR44 (W2112) chromosome 1, whole genome shotgun sequence.